rfam:Triticum aestivum genome assembly, contig: Triticum_aestivum_CS42_TGACv1_scaffold_321249_4BL
UUCCUACUCCCUUCUUCCGAAAAGAAUUGUAAUCAAAAUGAAUAAAAAAAGAUGAAUCUAGAAUUAAAAUACAUCUAUAUACAUCCCGUCUUAUCUAGUUUGAUGACAAGUAUUUCCGGGCGAAUGGAGUACUUG